rnacentral:misc_RNA from 1 species
AGGGCCCGUUGUGUCAAAAUCUAUAUGCUUGUAAAUGCUAGAUUCUGGAAGUCUCUUCUUUCUUUUGCUGAAUAACUUGCCUGUUAUUAACAAAACAGGAAAUUGGGUAUCUUUCAAAUCUUUUCUCUGGUCAAAACUUGAACACCGAGAUGAAGAAUCAAGAUCACUAGCCUCCUCUAAAUGGUUACCAUCCAACUUAUUGAUCACUCUUAUAUCUUCAAUCGUUUGGUGGUCACAAACCACAAGAACGUUCCCAUCUUUUAUAGCAAAGGAUCCCCUGCUUUCUUCAAUCUCUGUCUCAGCCAAAGCUGCAGAGACAAAAGCUUGUCCAGGAAUGGUGGACCAGAGGGCUCUUGUUGGUUGAGACUGGUGAGAAAUUGAGAGAUACCCACCAUUUCUAGAGCUCCAAAGAAGCUGGAAAUCUCUCCCAACUGGGAAGAUUUGGUGUGAAGGCAGUGUUCGGGAAUUGGCAAAAAGGCUUCCUUGAAUGAAGGGAAGAGACCUUGGCGUUGAUGGGAAGGGGUUGUUUAGGU